rnacentral:rRNA from 1 species
AGGGUGGGAUGGGUCGUCUCACUAUAUGCAUCUAUACUGUGAAACUGCGAAUGGCUCAUUAAAUCAGUUAUCGUUUAUUUGAUAGUACCUUACUACAUGGAUACCUGUGGUAAUUCUAGAGCUAAUACAUGCUAAAAACCCCGACUUCGGGAGGGGUGUAUUUAUUAGAUAAAAAACCAAUGCCCCUCGGGGCUCCUUGGUGAAUCAUAAUAACUUAACGAAUCGCAUGGCCUUGCGCCGGCGAUGGUUCAUUCAAAUUUCUGCCCUAUCAACUUUCGAUGGGAGGAUAGUGGCCUACCAUGGUGGCAACGGGUAACGGGGAAUUAGGGUUCGAUUCCGGAGAGGGAGCCUGAAAAACGGCUACCACAUCCAAGGAAGGCAGCCGGCGCGCAAAUUACCCAAUCCCGACACGGGGAGGUAGUGACAAUAAAUACUGAUACGGGGCUCUUUUGGGUCAAGAAAUUGGAAUGACCACCAUCUAAAUCCUUUAAAGAGGAACCAUUGGAGGGCAAUUCUGAUGUCGGCAGCAGCGGUGAAUCCCGCUCCUGUAGCGUAUAUUAAAGCUGUAGCCUCGACACAGUGGUGUAGCUCUACCUUGAGUUUGGCUAGUCAGCCCUGCUGCCACCGUGCUCCCCGCAGACUAGAACUUUGUUUUUUCUAAUAUGCCGAGAGCGUCUUCAUCAUAAACGCACCCCAGAUCUAUUGUCGACAAAUUAUAGUGAUGACUAUACGACGGUCUGAGCACGUACUAUCCCGCAAAAUCGAUCCCGAGUAAAGGGAAAUCUUCUUGGGUAAGUGUUCGCACGUAUGUAUGUUUACCGAAAGUCAAGAAUGUCCCUCUCGCACUGUAUAACUGACUCCCCGACAUAGCUAAUGAUUACUUACGCCGUUCCCUAUAAACCAACCAAGUAAAACUGACGUGCAUUUCAUUAAUGCAAGGUAGUAUCGAGACAAAGCUGCUUGAAACACUUCAAUUUUU